rnacentral:rRNA from 1 species
AGGGCUGCGGUAUUUUGACCGUGCAAAGGUAGCAUAAUCAUUUGCUUCUUAAUUGGAAGCUGGAAUGAACGGUUUGACGAGGGGAAGACUGUCUCUUCUUUAUGAGAUGAACUUAACUUUUAAGUGAAAAGGCUUAAAUAGAUUGAAGGGACGAUAAGACCCCGUAAAACUUUAUAAGAUUUAUUUUGUGAAAGAAGGUGAGUAUAAACUGGAUCAAGAGUAUGCUUAUUUCACUGGGGCGGUGUAGAUAUAAAUCAGUAACUGUCUACUUAAAGAUAAUAAUAUUAAUUAGGUUAAGAUCUCCUGUUUGGGAUUAAGAGAACAAGUUACUUCGGGGAUAACAGCGUAAUUUUCCUUGAGAGGACAUAUCGACAGGAGUAGUUGCGACCUCGAUGUUGAAUUAAGGUUUCAAAUAGGCGCAGAGGCUUAUUUAGUAGGUCUGUUCGCCCUUUAAUACCUU